rnacentral:rRNA from 1 species
AACGCUAGCUACAGGCUUAACACAUGCAAGUCGAGGGGCAGCAUGAACUUAGCUUGCUAAGUUUGAUGGCGACCGGCGCACGGGUGAGUAACACGUAUCCAACCUUCCCGUUACUCUGGGAUAGCCUUUCGAAAGAAAGAUUAAUACCGGAUAGUAUCGAGAGAUUGCAUGAUGACCCGAUUAAAGAUUUAUCGGUAACGGAUGGGGAUGCGUUCCAUUAGAUAGUAGGCGGGGUAACGGCCCACCUAGUCGACGAUGGAUAGGGGUUCUGAGAGGAAGGUCCCCCACAUUGGAACUGAGACACGGUCCAGACUCCUACGGGAGGCAGCAGUGAGGAAUAUUGGUCAGUGGAGGCAACUCUGAACCAGCCAAGUAGCGUGAGGGAUGACUGCCCUACGGGUUGUAAACCUCUUUUGUCGGGGAAUAAACCGCGCCACGUGUGGCGCCCUGCAUGUACCCGCAGAAUAAGGACCGGCUAAUUCCGUGCCAGCAGCCGCGGUAAUACGGAAGGUCCGAGCGUUAUCCGGAUUUAUUGGGUUUAAAGGGAGCGUAGGCGGGCUGUUAAGCCAGCCGUCAAAUUGCGGGGCUCAACCCCGUACCGCGGUUGGAACUGGCGGCCUUGAGUCGGCAAGAGGCGCGUGGAAUUCGUGGUGUAGCGGUGAAAUGCAUAGAUAUCACGAAGAACUCCGAUUG